rnacentral:rRNA from 1 species
GUACAAUAAGCAAAAUAAGGGCGUAUGGGGGAUGCCUUGGCUCUCAGAGGCGAUGAAAGGCGUGAUAAGCUGCGAAAAGCUACGGGGACGGGCACACACCGAUUGAUCCGUAGAUACCUGAAUGGGGCAACCCACUAUGUUGAAGACAUAGUACACCGAUAGGUGGGCAAACCCGCUGAACUGAAACAUCUAAGUAGGCGGAGGAGAAGAAAACAAAAGUGAUUCCGUAAGUAGUGGCGAGCGAACGCGGAUUAGCCCAAACCAGUGUUGUUACGGCAAUGCUGGGGUUGUAGGACCACGAUAUUUCAUGCACAAAGAACCAGAAUCUACUGGAAAGUAGGACCAGAGAGGGUGAUAGUCCUGUAUGGGUAAUGAGUGUAAUGGAUAGUGGUAUCCUGAGUAGGGCGGGGCACGUGAAACCCUGUCUGAAUUUGGCGGGACCAUCCGCUAAGGCUAAAUACUCCUGAGAGACCGAUAGUGAACCAGUACCGUGAGGGAAAGGUGAAAAGAACCGUGAAUAACGGAGUGAAAUAGAUCCUGAAACCAUACGCUUACAAGCGGUCGGAGCCCUUUCGUGGGGUGACGGCGUGCCUUUUGCAUAAUGAGCCUACGAGUUAACGUUGCUGGCAAGGAUAAGUGGUUAAGCCACGGAUCCGUAGCGAAAGCGAGUCUGAAUAGGGCGCUUUAGUCAGUAGUGUUAGACGCGAAACCGUGUGAUCUACCCAUGGGCAGGAUGAAGCUGUGGUAACACACAGUGGAGGUCCGAACCGGUUGACGUUGAAAAGUCUUCGGAUGACCUGUGGGUAGGGGUGAAAGGCCAAUCAAACUCGGAAAUAGCUCGUACUCCCCGAAAUGCAUUUAGGUGCAGCGUUAUUUUAGUUAUAUAGAGGUAGAGCUACUGAUUGGAUGCGGGGGCUUCACCGCCUACCAAUUCCUGACAAACUCCGAAUGCUAUAUAAUGAUUGAUAACAGUGAGGGCUUGGGUGCUAAGGUCCAAGUCCGAGAGGGAAAGAACCCAGACCAUCAGCUAAGGUCCCCAAAUAUACGCUAAGUUGAAAGAACGAGGUUUGUCUGCCCAGACAGCUAGGAUGUUGGCUUGGAAGCAGCCAUUCAUUUAAAGAGUGCGUAACAGCUCACUAGUCGAGCGGACGAGCAUGGAUAAUAAUCGGGCAUAAGCGUAUUACCGAAGCUAUGGAUUUAGAGUUUACUCUAAGUGGUAGGGGAGCAUUCUAACAGGGUUGAAGGUGUAUCGUAAGGUAUGCUGGACUGGUUAGAAAAGAAAAUGUAGGCAUAAGUAACGAUAAUGCGGGCGAGAAACCCGCACACCGAAAAACUAAGGUUUCCACAGCUAUGCUAAUCAGCUGUGGGUUAGUCUGGUCCUAAGGCGAACCCGAAAGGGACAGUCGAUGGCUAACGGGUUAAUAUUCCCGUACUACUAAUUACUGUGAUGGGGUGACGGAGUGAUGAAAGCGCCGCGAACUGACGGAAUAGUUCGUUGAAGUACCUACCUAUAAUANNNNNNNNNNNNNNNNNNNNNNNNNNNNNNNNNNNNNNNNNNNNNNNNNNNNNNNNNNNNNNNNNNNNNNNNNNNNNNNNNNNNNNNNNNNAUAAGAUCUGCAGGCAAAUCCACAGAUUUUGGGGAAAUACGAUAGUACUCGGAGUCUUCGGACAAAGAGAUAGUGCGCCUAAGGGCUUCCAAGAAAAACCUCUAAACUUCAGGUAAUUAGUACCAGUACCGUAAACCGACACAGGUAGUUGAGGAGAGAAUCCUAAGGUGCUCGAGAGAUUCAUGGCUAAGGAAUUAGGCAAAAUAGACCUGUAACUUCGGGAGAAAGGUCGCCAGCGCAAGCUGGCCGCAGUGAAGAGGUCCAGGCGACUGUUUAUCAAAAACACAGGGCUCUGCAAAAUCGUAAGAUGAAGUAUAGGGCCUGACACCUGCCCGGUGCUGGAAGGUUAAGAGGAGAUGUUAUCUUCGGAGAAGCAUUGAAUUGAAGCCCCAGUAAACGGCGGCCGUAACUAUAACGGUCCUAAGGUAGCGAAAUUCCUUGUCGGGUAAGUUCCGACCUGCACGAAUGGUGUAACGAUCUGGACACUGUCUCAGCCAUGAGCUCGGUGAAAUUGUAGUAACGGUGAAGAUGCCGUUUACCCGCAGUGGGACGAAAAGACCCUGUGCACCUUUACUAUAGCUUAGUAUUGACCUUGGAUAAAUGAUGUGUAGGAUAGGUUGGAGACUAUGAAGCGGCGUCGCCAGGCGUUGUGGAGUCAUUGUUGAAAUACAACCCUUUGUUUAUCUGAGGCCUAACCCCGUAUUGCGGGGGACAUUGCUUGGUGGGUAGUUUGACUGGGGUGGUCGCCUCCAAAAGAGUAACGGAGGCUUCUAAAGGUUCCCUCAGUACGCUUGGUAACCGUGCGUAGAGUGCAAUGGCAUAAGGGAGCUUGACUGAGAGACAUACAGGUCGAUCAGGUACGAAAGUAGAGCAUAGUGAUCCGGUGGUUCCGCAUGGAAGGGCCAUCGCUCAAAGGAUAAAAGGUACGCCGGGGAUAACAGGCUGAUCUCCCCCAAGAGCUCAUAUCGACGGGGGGGUUUGGCACCUCGAUGUCGGCUCGUCACAUCCUGGGGCUGGAGAAGGUCCCAAGGGUUGGGCUGUUCGCCCAUUAAAGUGGCACGCGAGCUGGGUUCAGAACGUCGUGAGACAGUUCGGUCUCUAUCUACUGUGGGCGUUAGAAAUUUGAGUGGAUCUGAUUCUAGUACGAGAGGACCGAAUUGGACAAACCUCUAGUGUAUCUGUUGUCCCGCCAGGGGCACCGCAGAGUAGCUACGUUUGGAAGGGAUAAGCGCUGAAAGCAUAUAAGCGCGAAACCCACCACAAGAUGAGAUUUCUUUUAAGGAUCGUGGAAGAUGACCACGUUGAUAGGCUAUAGAUGUAAAGGCAGUAAUGUCAUAGUCGAGUAGUACUAAUAAUCCGUAAGCUUAUGUACACCC